GGCUUUAAGUUUAAUUUAAGGUCAGGCCUGCUCACUGAGUAUUUAAAGAGCCGCAGUAUUUUGACUGUGUUAAGGUAGCAUAAUCAUUAGUUUCUUAAUUAGAAGCUUGUAUGAAAGGUUUGAUGAGGGAAGAACUGUCUUAUUAAAUAUCAGUGAAUUUUAAGUCUUUGAAAGAAUUCUUAGAUGGGCUAGAGGGACGAUAAGACCCUAUAAAUCUUAUGGGCUGGGGCGGUUUAUAUAAAAUGGAUCUGUAUAGUAAAGAACAUUAAUUUAUGAUUUUAUUGAACUUUUAUUAGAGUAAAAAAUAAGUUACUUUAGGGAUAACAGCACAAUCCUUUUUUGGAGCUCGAAUCUACAAGAGGGAUUGUGACCUCGAUGUUGAAUUACUAAUUUUUUUAUGUGCAGAGGCAUAAAUAAAGAGUCUGUUCGACUUUUAAUAUAGUACA
rnacentral:rRNA from 1 species